AUAACCCCGGGAAACUGGGGAUAAUUCCGGAUAACGCACAUAUGCUGGAAUGCUUUAUGCGUGAAAUGGAUUCGUCUGCCCAAGGAUGGGUCUGCGGCCUAUCAGGUAGUAGUGGGUGUAAUGUACCUACUAGCCUACGACGGGUACGGGUUGUGAGAGCAAGAGCCCGGAGAUGGAUUCUGAGACAUGAAUCCAGGCCCUACGGGGCGCAGCAGGCGCGAAACUUUACAAUGCGGGAAACCGUGAUAAGGGGACACCGAGUGCCAGCAUCCUAUGCUGGCUGUCCAGGUGUGCAAAAUACACCUGUUAGCAAGGGCCGGGCAAGACCGGUGCCAGCCGCCGCGGUAACACCGGCGGCCCGAGUGGUGAUCGUGAUUAUUGGGUCUAAAGGGUCCGUAGCCGGUUUGGUCAGUCCUCCGGGAAAUCUGACAGCUUAACUGUUAGGCUUUCGGAGGAUACUGCCAGACUUGGAACCGGGAGAGGUAAGAGGUACUACAGGGGUAGGAGUGAAAUCUUGUAAUCCCUGUGGGACCACCUGUGGCGAAGGCGUCUUACCAGAACGGGUUCGACGGUGAGGGACGAAAGCUGGGGGCACGAACCGGAUUAGAUACCCGGGUAGUCCCAGCCGUAAACGAUGCUCGCUAGGUGUCAGGCAUGGCGCGACCGUGUCUGGUGCCGCAGGGAAGCCGUGAAGCGAGCCACCUGGGAAGUACGGCCGCAAGGCUGAA
rnacentral:rRNA from 1 species